AAAUUGAAGAGUUUGAUCAUGGCUCAGAUUGAACGCUGGCGGCAGGCCUAACACAUGCAAGUCGAACGGUAACAGGAAGCAGCUUGCUGCUUCGCUGACGAGUGGCGGACGGGUGAGUAAUGUCUGGGAAACUGCCUGAUGGAGGGGGAUAACUACUGGAAACGGUGGCUAAUACCGCAUAACGUCGCAAGACCAAAGAGAGGGACCUU
rnacentral:rRNA from 1 species